ACCGUCCUUAUCUGGGGGUUGCGUGGCUGCUCAAUGAACGCGUGGUGAGGGCAGCCCUGCUAACGCCUAAAGCAACACACCAGCGCCCGCUUUGUGCGUGGCGCAAUUUUUGGAACC
rnacentral:ncRNA from 1 species